rnacentral:tRNA from 1 species
GGAUGGCCGAGCGGACGAAGGCGGCGGUCUUGAAAACCGCUAGGGGCGCAAGUCCCUCAUGGGUUCGAAUCCCAUUCCCCCCG